rnacentral:rRNA from 1 species
ACCCAGACUCCUACGGGAGGCAGCAGUGGGGAAUAUUGGGCAAUGGGCGCAAGCCUGACCCAGCAACGCCGCGUGAAGGAAGAAGGCUUUCGGGUUGUAAACUUCUUUUGACAGGGAAGAGUAGAAGACGGUACCUGUCGAAUAAGCCACGGCUAACUACGUGCCAGCAGCCGCGGUAAUACGUAGGAGGCUAGCGUUAUCCGGAAUUACUGGGCGUAAAGGGUGCGUAGGCGGUAUGUCAAGUCAAGGGUGAAAUCCCCGCGCUCAACGUGGGAACUGCCUUUGAAACUGGCAAACUGGAGUGUGUGAGAGGAUAGUGGAAUUCCAGGUGUAGGAGUGAAAUCCGUAGAUAUCUGGAGGAACAUCAGUGGCGAAGGCGACUAUCUGGCACAUAACUGACGCUGAGGAGCGAAAGCGUGGGUAGCAAACAGGAUUAGAUACCCUGGUA